rnacentral:rRNA from 1 species
AUUGAACGCUGGCGGCGUGCCUAAUACAUGCAAGUCGAACGCAGGGGGGACGGGGGAGUAACACGUGGGUAACCUCCCAUCAGAGGGGAUAACACUUGGAAACAGGUGCUAAACCGAUACAGAUGGAUGGACCCGCGGUGCAUUAGCUAGUUGGUGGGGUAACGGCUCACCAAGGCCACGAUGCCUAGCCGACCUGAGAGGGUGACAGUCCACACUGGGACGGAGCCACGGCCCAGACUCCUACUGUAGGCAUCAGUUGGGAAUCUUCGGCAAUGGACGCAAUUCUGACCGAGCAACGCCGCGUGAGUGAAGAAGGUUUUCGGAUCGUAAAACUCUGUUGUUAGAGAAGCGGUAUCUAACCAGAAAGCCACGGCUAACUACGUGCCAGCCGCCGCGGUAAUUC